rnacentral:ncRNA from 1 species
UUCUUAUCCAGAGAGGUGGAGGGACUGGCCCUAGGAUACCUCGGCAGCAGACAAAUUUAAGUACUGUGCCAACUCCAGAAGUGUAAAGCUUGAAGAUAAGAA